rnacentral:rRNA from 1 species
GAUCCUGGCUCGGGAUGAACGCUAGCUACAGGCUUAACACAUGCAAGUCGAGGGGUCAGCAUGAACUUAGCUUGCUAAGUUUGAUGGCGACCGGCGCACGGGUGAGUAACACGUAUCCAACCUUCCGUUUACUCAGGGAUAGCCUUUACGAAAGAAAGAUUAAUACCUGAUAGUAUGGUGAGAUUGCAUGAUAACACCAUUAAAGAUUUAUUGGUAAACGAUGGGGAUGCGUUCCAUUAGGUAGUACGGG